UUUUUCACUUUCCCACGCCGACAGUCUGUCUUCCAAAUUCCAAAAUCCCUAACCCUGUGCCUUCUAAAAUCCCUAACCCUGUCUGUCUGUCUCACCGAUUUCGAGUCACCGAUCCACCUCCACCGUCAAGACCUCCAUCGAUCCACCUCUGGUUCUCCAACAGAAUCGUAUUUAAGAAACAAUCGACAUUGAAAUCGAUUUGGCUUACCUUAGCUUCCUUUUCCGACUUGAAUUUUUAUGACUAUGGCUAGUUCGAACACUCCUAUACCUGUGGACGAUGGGUUUAAUGAGUAUGAAAGUGCUGUCAAACGUCAAAAGUCUACCACUUCAAA